AGGAAGACGUGGCCGGUGGUUCAUCAUCCGGGUAGCCUGAUGCCACCGUCGCAGGCUGCGUCAUUGAUGUCUACAUUUU
rnacentral:sRNA from 1 species